rnacentral:lncRNA from 1 species
AGGCCGGAGCCCAGGGUCUGUCUGGCAGGCAGACAGGUGCCAGCAGCUCGCAGCCUGGCGUUCCCGCUCUGGGGGCCGUCCGGGAACAGAGGCGCGCGAAGUGCGCGUGCGCGGCGGCGGAGGCGGUGGCGGCGCGAGGCAGAGCCAGAGCCCGGGGUCGGUCAAUCAGAUUAGACUCCAGAGAUAAUGAUAUUAGGAAAUCCAAACUGAAAUGGACCCCAGAGCAAUUGAAGAAAGAAAGAGUCAAGACAAAAAAAAGUUGCUGAUUCCAGUCUAGAGGAAACAGUAAGGAAGAGAAAAGAGAAAUUCUCAUUAUAGCCAUGGCAAAGGAAGGGACAUUUUUAUGGACUACAUCUCUGCCUGGAUGGCUGUCUCUAACUGGAUUUUGCCAAUAUAUGCUGAGUAAGAUGUGACUUGCUCCUCCUUGCCUUCCACCAUGAUCAUGAGGCCUCCCCAACCAUGUGGAACUGGGGAGAUAUGAAAUUAUCCAGGAAUGGCAAUUUGACCACAAAAUACAUGAACAGAUGGUUCUUGCCUUUGAAUGGGAAAAGAUGCUGCCUAGUCCAUCUUGUAUUGGAAAAUGUUGUGACUCAGUGCAAAUUUUACACUUUUGGAUGCAUUUGGAUUUCUUGGAUGUUGUAAGCACUUCUCCUUCCUGCCACCACGUGAAGAAGGACAUGUUUGCUUCCUCUUCCACCAUGAUUGUAAGUUUCCUGAGGCCACCAAGUCCUGCAGAACUGAGAUUUUUACACCUAUCUGUGAUGCUAUCUUGUGACCAUGAGGAGUGCUAAGCUGAAUCACAAAUCCACCAUGCUGAGGACAGCACAACAAAGACUUGGGGACUUAAUGGUUUCAACCAGUCACUGGGUUAACAAACCCUGGAACAAUCCCACCUCAAAACUUCAGUUACCUGUCCUGCUGACGUCAGACCCAGCACCAGGUGCAGAAGCAACCAUCAUACAAAAAUCAAGCUUCCUUAAUUAUAGAUGGAGUCUCCCUGUGUUGGCCAGGCUGGUCUUGAGCUCCUGGGCUCAAGCAAGCCUUCCACUUCAGCCUCCAGCAAUCCUCCCACCUUGGCCUCCCACAGUGCUGGGAUUACAGGUGUGAGUCACUGAACCUAGACUUGACUUUAGCUUCUUGAAGAGGAAAUUUUGAUCUUUGCUUUUAAACCUUUCUCAUUUCAAAUACAAAUAUUUAAAACUGUACAUUUUCCACUAAACACAGCUUUUGAUUGGGUCUCACAUAAUUUGGUAUAAUGUAUUUUAAUUUUUAUUCAGUUUUAAAUAUGUGCUAAUUUCCCUUUGGAUUUCUUUUUUGAUCCAUAGUA